GGCCAGGUGGCGGAGUGGCUACGCAUCGGUCUGCAAAACCGAGUACACCGGUUCAAUUCCGGUCCUGGCCUCCA
rnacentral:tRNA from 1 species